UAGAUUUUUAUCCAGGUCUUUGAUUUGGUGU
rnacentral:piRNA from 1 species